AGAGUUUGAUCCUGGCUCAGGACGAACGCUGGCGGCGUGCCUAAUACAUGCAAGUCGAGCGAAGUUUUUCUGGUGCUUGCACUAGAAAAACUUAGCGGCGAACGGGUGAGUAACACGUAAAGAACCUGCCUCAUAGACGGGGACAACUAUUGGAAACGAUAGCUAAUACCGGAUAACAGCAUAAAUCGCAUGAUAUAUGUUUAAAAGUUGGUUUCGGCUAACACUAUGAGAUGGCUUUGCGGUGCAUUAGCUAGUUGGUGGGGUAAAGGCCUACCAAGGCGACGAUGCAUAGCCGACCUGAGAGGGUGAUCGGCCACACUGGGACUGAGACACGGCCCAGACUCCUACGGGAGGCAGCAGUAGGGAAUCUUCCGCAAUGGGCGAAAGCCUGACGGAGCAACGCCGCGUGAGUGAAGAAGGAUUUCGGUUCGUAAAGCUCUGCUGUUAGGGAAGAAUGAUUGUAUAGUAACUAUAUACAGUAGAGACGGUACCUAACCGGAAAGCCACGGCUAACUACGUGCCAGCAGCCGCGGU
rnacentral:rRNA from 1 species